GGUCAUCCAUUAUCAUCCAUAAUCAUUCCUCAAACUCCCGAUCAUAAUCCCUGAUACAUUCCUCACCAUCCUUAACCAUCCAAAAUCAUCCAUCGUCAUCCUUGAUCAUUCAUUUUCAUCCCUGAUCAUCCCUAACCAUCCGUAACCAUCCUUUAUCAUCCCUUAACAUUCUUGACCUUCAAUAUCCAAAUUUUUAAUCAUCCAUUAUCAUCCUUGAUCAGCCCUCGUCAUCCCCAUUAUUUAUCAUCAUCCCUUUAAUCCAUCAUCAUCUUUCACCAUCCCUCAUUAAAUUACCAUACCAGCGUACCAUCUCUCUCUCUUUCUUUUCUAAAAAUAUCAUCUUUUAAAAAUAGUGUCCUAAGAAGACGAUAGGCCCAUCACCACCAGCAGCACAAGUGGCUAUACCGAAAAACUACCGGGGAUCCGUGUGUAGUCAUACGAAAAGGCAAACUAAUGACAUUAAAGUGCAUACAAAUGGUAUGCUAAUCGCUGAUAUGGAACAGAAAUGGAAUUUUACGAGGGAACUAGAGGUAUUAGACCCGGGAUCAGGCUAAAUGAGAUUUACAGAUGCAGAGAAUAAAAGACAGAAUUGAAAAAAAGGGACGAAUGAAUUCAAUGCAAUGCUUUCAAAUGUGUUGUUUGACAUCUUUUGGGAUAUAUUGCUAAGGAAAAAAAUAACCAUGUGCAUCGAAGUUUUGUUUGUUGCUGUUUGGAAAGUCGACAUGAUCUUGUACAACGGUACACAUGUCUAAGGAAGGCCUAUGUUAUCAAAUUGCCCAAAACUGAGAAACAGAAGCAAACAAUCACGGCUAUGGGGAAAAGAAAAAUUCUGAAUCUGUAGUUUUGCAGUUUAACCCAGAGCCCUUUCACCUCUAUACAAAAUAUCAGACACUUUUUAGUUCUCCAUCGCCGUUUAUAGCAAAAUAUUUACAUAGAAUGACAGCCACCUGCAUUCUAAACUACUUUCCUUUUCUCUCGCAUUGCUGACCCAGUUCAGUUCCUCUUAACAUUCCAGUUUCUUCCGGAGAGAGAAGGCGCGAUAUCUGAGUGCGAGAAAAAAAAUCAUUGUAUCAACUUCAGACUGGAAGAGGACAAAGGCACACGCUAUUUCGAUCGAUACAGGCUACGUGAGGGAAUUCAAAGUGGGCGGGGCUAUUUUACUGCUAUUGUGUACGUGUUAUCCAGGUGAUACUCAGUGUGCUGACGCUGAGGGCGAGUUGAAUUUGGGUGUUUAGUUUCGGUCUUCGAAGGGAGAAGAUUGUUGUUUGAAAAUGUCUCAGAACUAUGGUUUUUAACAAUGUGGAGAGUUUCAGAAAAGAGAUUGGAAUAAAAUAGAAUGGAAUGCUUCAUCGUGCUUUGUCCCAUGGGAAAGCUAUCACAACGUUUACGGCCAAACUUGGUUAGUGGACGGCUCUGUUCGUGCUGCAUGAACGCGUCCAGGCAAGACUGGGCGGCGGUUGGCUUCCUGGCCUUGGCCCGGGCCCUGUUGCCGUGAUUACGGACGGAACUCAGGUGCAUGAGCUCCAGCUUCCCGCCACUUUUUUUCCCGCCACUUUUUUUCCCCCGCGGGGAUAUCGGUGGAGAGCAGAGUUGUCUCGGCAGCGAGAGAUCACUGUCAUUGUGCGGCGCUGAGGAGUCAAGAUCGUCUAUUACACCACACGCUGAAGGUCGACCUCAGUCUGGCUCUUAAGAAAAAUUAACUUGCAGCUGAGGAAAGACUCCAAAAGAGACUGUUCGUCACUG
rnacentral:lncRNA from 1 species